rnacentral:rRNA from 1 species
CCUACGGGAGGCAGCAGUGAGGAAUAUUGGUCAAUGGUCGGGAGACUGAACCAGCCAAGCCGCGUGAGGGAUGAAGGUACAGAGUAUCGUAAACCUCUUUUGCCAGGGAACAAAGGCGGGAACGCGUCCCCGGAUGAGUGUACCUGAAGAAAAAGCAUCGGCUAACUCCGUGCCAGCAGCCGCGGUAAUACUGGGGAUGCGAGCGUUAUCCGGAGUGAUGGGGUUUAAAGGGUGGGCAGGCGGACUGUAAAGUCAGCGGUCAAACCCCGGGGCUCACGCCCGGCCCGCCGUUGAAACUGGCAGUCUCGAGUUGGAGAGAAGUAUGCGGAAUGCGCGGUGUAGCGGUGAAAUGCAUAGAUAUCGCGCAGAACUCCGAUUGCGAAGGCAGCAUGCCGGCUCCACACUGACGCUGAGGCACGAAAGCGUGGGUAUCGAACAGGAUUAGAUACCCGGGUAGUC